UACGUAGGGUGCGAGCGUUAAUCGGAAUUACUGGGCGUAAAGCGUGCGCAGGCGGUUUUGUAAGCCCGAUGUGAAAGCCCCGGGCUUAACCUGGGAAUGGCAUUUGGGACUGCAAGGCUUGAGUGCGGCAGAGGAGACUGGAAUUCCUGGUGUAGCAGUGAAAUGCGUAGAUAUCAGGAGGAAUACCGAUGGCGAAGGCAGGUCUCUGGGCUGACACUGACGCUCAUGCACAAAAGCGUGGGGAGCAAACAGG
rnacentral:rRNA from 1 species